GACGAACGCUGGCGGCGCGCCUAACACAUGCAAGUCGAACGGAGAAUGCAGGACUGAAGCCUUCGGGCAGAUGGCUUGUAUUCUUAGUGGCGGACGGGUGAGUAACACGUGAGCAACCUGCCUUCAAGAGGGGGAUAGCACCUGGAAACGGGUGGUAAUACCGCAUAAGACCACAGCAUCGCAUGGUGCAGAGGUCAAAGGAGCAAUCCGCUUGAAGAUGGGCUCGCGUCCGAUUAGAUAGUUGGUGAGGUAACGGCUCACCAAGUCGACGAUCGGUAGCCGGACUGAGAGGUUGAACGGCCACAUUGGGACUGAGACACGGCCCAGACUCCUACGGGAGGCAGCAGUGGGGGAUAUUGCACAAUGGGCGAAAGCCUGAUGCAGCGACGCCGCGUGAGGGAAGACGGCCUUCGGGUUGUAAACCUCUGUCAUUCGGGACGAAUUAGAUGACGGUACCGAAGAAGGAAGCUCCGGC
rnacentral:rRNA from 1 species